rnacentral:lncRNA from 1 species
GGAGGACGAGACCUGAGGCACGGAGGAGGGUGGGCACCAGUCCAGCUUGUGGACACAGGACAGCACAGCUGCAGCCAGGACUGUGGGGAGGGACCCAGGGGACUAAAAACCCUGCCUUUCCAAAAGCCCAGCGCUGCCUCCUGCUAAUCCCAGAGGGCAAGGGGAAGCCAAGGACACAGUCCUGAGAGGCCAGCCUUCCUGGGAACACCGAGCAGAGAAGAGUGACUAGCAGACCGGAGGGUUCGUGCCUUCUUGCCAUUUAGCACGUCCUUGUCCUUUUCCUUUGUUCAGACAGAGAAGCUCACCUGUCUAACACAGAGGGGCACCAUCCCAGGAGCUCAGCUGUCACAGUGGAGUGAGGCCCUCCGAGUUACACUCCUAACUAAGCCACCACUGUGCUUUUCACAGGAGACACUGAGAUGAAAAUGUCAGGGUGACUCCAAGGACCCAAGUCAUCAGUGCUUCCUCUUAUCAUCCUGCCACAGGGUCCCGUGGGCGUUAUUUGGAGAUGGAGGUGUGAAGAGAUUGCCCAGGGAAUACUCUGGGUCCACUUCUAAUUCUCCUUCAUCCCCUGGUGUAGCAGCAACCCAAUUUCCUCUUAGUAACCGGACCAGUCACCCUAGCCCAGUAGCCAGGGCCCUCCCUCUGCCUUUGGUCCAGCAUCACGACUCGCCCCGGAUGGCCCAGAGGCUCUCUCUGCUCCCUCUUCAAGGAACCAAGACUGUGUCCUCUGGGACAAGUGUUUCUCCUGAAGGCACUAGGAGCCCAAACCCACCUGCUCCAAGGUUGCAAUUCAGGAAGCAUAAACGGCUAAGCAUGAAAUUAGGUGUCUCAAAACACAGGCUGAAAGAAACGUAAAGAUCUUAACAAAGUCAAGCUCUCCAUUGGCUCCAUUUGCGCUUCUAGAAUCGGACAACACUUUAUUCUUCAAAAUAGAACGAGCGAUCCCAUGAGAGCACAGGAGGCUGGUUUUAUAGACGGGAGGGCUGAGGAAAGCAGAGACAGACAAAAAGUGGUUUUGCUGCUUCAAAGUUACUUUCCUCGUAAAGGUUAAAGGAGGGGGCUUCCUGGUGGUGCCAGCUAGCGCUGGCCUGUUAGGGAUUUGGCUAUUAUCCGUCUCUCCUAAUUAUUCAGAAGGUCAGAUCAACAGUUUGGUUUUGGCUUGGCGACGUGGAACUUUAGCGUGAGUGAUGCCAUUUUGGUCUGGUCUGCUGGGUCGAGUGUGGGGACUGAGCCAGACCAAUGGCCUCCUGUACAUUUCUACUUCCAGGUGGAAUAAGCAAGAAGGGCCAGUCCUGCUUCCACUUCUCAGUCUGGACACUGUGUAUUUGGGCUCUGGAAAUGCUACAGUGCACCGGAGGUGGUUUAGGGCAAAUGCUGUUCUCUGGACCCCACCCUGCCCCUCCCUGGGUCCCCCAGAUGGCACCACAGCUGAGCCUUCAGUAAGUCCUUCCCCCACGACAUUGACUCAUUGGCUUCUGGGUGAUGGUACAUAAUUUCACUUCUCUGUCCUCCACAUUCGUUUCUGAUUCAGUGUGGGGGACCCUUGGGGCUCCUCCUUCAGCCGCCAUCACGGUAAAGAUAAGGGACUCUUCCAAGGUACCACAGAGGCUUUCUGACAUCUGCCACCUGUGUCUUGAGAUGGGAAUGCGAGGUCUGAGCUUAUCUUUCUUUCUUUCUGUACCAGGGAUUGAACUCAGAGGCACUCAACCACUGAGCCACAUCCCUAGCCCCUUUAUUUUAUUUAGAGACGGGGGUCUCACUGAGUUGCUUAGCAACUCACUUUUCCUGAGGCUGGCUUUGAACUCACGACCCUCCUGCUUCAGCCUCCAGAGCUGCUGGGAUUACAGGUAAGUGCCACCGUGCCAGGCCUUAUCUUUCUUUUUAUUGGUCUCCAAGUCGGUCAGAGGCAUACUGUAGGCCAUAUGGUCUUCAUGGUGGCCUUUGUCACCAAGGUGACUGAGUGUCACUUAAUCUCCCAGUACCUUGCCCUCUGUCUUAUUCCACCACUGGUAACAAUCUGAGCACUCACAACACACUAACAAUGACUAGGGGGCUAAACCGCAGGGUGGGUAUAAAGUAAGAGAAACAGUAAUA